rnacentral:rRNA from 2 species
AUACCGGCAGCCCAAGUGAUGACCGAUUUUAUUGGGCCUAAAGCGUCCGUAGCCGGCCACGAAGGUCCAUCAGGAAAUCCGCCAGCUCAACUGGCGGGCGUCCGGUGGAAACCACGUGGCUUGGGAUCGGAAGGCUCGAGGGGUACGUCCGGGGUAGGAGUGAAAUCCUGUAAUCCUGGACGGACCACCGAUGGCGAAAGCACCUCGAGAAGACGAAUCCGACGGUGAGGGACGAAAGCUAGGGUCUCGAACCGGAUUAGAUACCCGGGUAGUCCUAGCCGUAAACGAUGCUCGCUAGGUGUGGCACAGGCUACGCGCCUGUGCUGUGCCGUAGGGAAGCCGAGAAGCGAGCCGCCUGGGAAGUACGUCCGCAAGGAUGAA